rnacentral:rRNA from 1 species
UACAGAGGGGGCAAGCGUUGUUCGGAAUUACUGGGCGUAAAGGGCGCGUAGGCGGCCUUCUAAGUCGAACGUGAAAUCCCCGGGCUCAACCCGGGAACUGCGUCCGAUACUGGAAGGCUUGAAUCCGGGAGAGGGAUGUGGAAUUCCAGGUGUAGCGGUGAAAUGCGUAGAUAUCUGGAGGAACACCGGUGGCGAAGGCGGCAUCCUGGACCGGUAUUGACACUGAGGCG